GAUCCUGGCUCAGGAUGAACGCUAGCGACAGGCUUAACACAUGCAAGUCGAGGGGCAGCGGGGGUAGCGAUACCCGCCGGCGACCGGCGCACGGGUGAGUAACGCGUAUGCAACUUGCCUAUCAGAGGGGGAUAACCCGGCGAAAGUCGGACUAAUACCGCAUGAAGCAGGGAUCCCGCAUGGGAAUAUUUGCUAAAGAUUUAUCGCUGAUAGAUAGGCGUGCGUUCCAUUAGGCAG
rnacentral:rRNA from 1 species